UUAUAGUUUCCCGACUGCAUAUGAAGGCACCAUGAGUCAUACAGUCUAUGUUUCAAACCCUCCAACGCGGCAGCAGUGAGUCGGUUCAAGAGAAAAGCAAAUCCAGCUGUGUGUCCUCUGCAGCUGGUCUGGGAGAAAAAGUCACGUCAGUCCCACAUCUGUUGCUGAGAAAUGGACAAACGAAAGGCUGUAAAACUCAUGUUGUCUAACCUGUCAACGCCCAACUUUGACCAUUUCUGCUACGAGCUUGUGCACCGCAAAAAGUUGCCGCGGGUCGCGCUCAACAGGGUGGAGGGAAAAAGCUUCUUAGAGAUCACAGAGGUACUGAUAUCCACUUUCAGUGAGACCCGAGCUGUCGAAGUGUCUGCUGAGUUAUUGAACGAGAUUGAUUGCAACAAAGAAGCAGCCCAACUGUUUAAAGAUACCGGUUUACAGCCCUAGAAAUCUGGUUCCAGUGACACUGCAAGACAUCAGGAGCUGUAGGGUGCGGUCUCCAUUCGUGAUAAUGCAACAUCUCAGAACAUGUUUCACUGCCUUCAUGCAUGAUGUUAGCUCUUCCUUUCUUUAAGUGAAAGAAGAAUAAUCUGAUAUAAUUUAUAUCAAUAGCUUCCAUCCUAAUUGAGAUCCCCACAACAACCAACUGAAAAAAAUGUGUACAGAGCCUAUAGAAAAUAAUCAAACCCCUUUGAAAUAGUGACUAUCAUAGAGCCUGAAAUAUAAAUCCAUUAAAAAAAAUACUUUUUCCAGCUUUAUUUACAAAUGUAGCUUUAAAACAUCAAACUAAUGAAAAAAGGUGACAGUUCUGGAUAUUGAUACAAAAUGAAAAACUAGAAUAACAGGGUUUUAGAAGUGUUUAGGAAUAGAAAUGUAAGAAACAGCUGGUUUUAUUUAUUAUUUUAAGUAAUACAAAUCACUUCAAUUGAUGUCAGGUGGUGGGCAAUUAGCCUAAUGUUGGAUCUGGAAGUUGCAUCUGAGCAUAUUCCUAAACUCUAAGGGACUGAUGACUUAACAAAACCAGGUAUUUAACUAAUCAAUGUUUAAUAAUCGUCCAGAAUUUGGUCAUUUUCGCUUUGAUGAUGAGGGUUAUAAUGUGUACAUACAGCUAAGAAAAAUGAAUUUGUGGAACAUUCAACUGUUUUCCUUGUCACAUUAAAGUUUUUAAUGAAAUCA